GGGGAUUUAGCUCAGUGGUUCCGGCACCUGCCUUGCAAGCAGAAGGACCCAAGUUCAAUCCCCA
rfam:Heterocephalus glaber contig230360, whole genome shotgun sequence.